rnacentral:rRNA from 1 species
UGGGGAAUAUUGCACAAUGGGCGCAAGCCUGAUGCAGCCAUGCCGCGUGUGUGAAGAAGGCCUUCGGGGUGUAAAGCACUUUCAGCGGGGAGGAAGGCGAUAAGGUUAAUAACCUUGCCGAGUGACGUUACCCGCAGAAGAAGCACCGGCUAACUCCGUGCCAGCAGCCGCGGUAAUACGGAGGGUGCAAGCGUUAAUCGGAAUUACUGGGCGUAAAGCGCACGCGGGCGGUCUGUCAAGUCGGAUGUGAAAUCCCCGGGCUGAACCUGGGAACUGCAUUCGAAACUGGCAGGCUAGAGUCUUGUAGAGGGGGGUAGAAUUCCAGGUGUAGCGGUGAAAUGCGUAGAGAUCUGGGGGAAUACCGGUGGCGAAGGCGGCCCCCUGGACAAAGACUGACGCUCCGGUGCGAAAGCGUGGGGAGCAAACAGG